UAUCCUCUUCUUCUCUCCUCUUUCAAAACAAAUCUCUUAACCCUAGCAUUAGCCGAAACAUCGAUCUCCACCUCCAUCGCCGUCGAUCUCCAUCUUCAUCUCCGACACAUCGAUCUCCACCUCCAUCCAGCUGACACAUCGAUCUCCACCUCCAUUGCCGUCGAUCUCCAUCUUCAUCACCGACGAAGCCCUUACAUCCAUCGAUCUCCAUCUUCAUCUCCGACGAAGCCCUCAUCUGCACCUUCAGGUAAUUCAAGAUGGGUUCAUGCAAUGGGAUGGAGUGGUCAGAAACGGUUUGGUGUAGCUCCUGGUGUUCCUUUUUAAGUUGAUGGUUCUGAAGCUGGCUUGUUCAAAACUCAUGGCCCACUACUUUCAACUUCCAGUUUGGUUUAUGAUGCUAGGCAUAUGCUUCCUAUGGAUCAACCAAAGGCAGCUCUAAGCAUGUUAAAGAGGUGGACAAGGGGAUCACUUUCUAAAAAUGGAGCUGAGGCCGAAUCCGUUGUUUCUUCCAUGUGAUGUCUAUAGCCAGAAUGGUGGUGCGUUUAAGUUCUAAAGACUUUUAACCAAGUUGAACAA